ensembl:lncRNA
CUUUAUUUCAAAAUAUGAGAGUGAUGACGGAGACCAGAGAAUGAGGAUCGAGGCCUAAUUGACCUUCUCUAUGAGCACAAAAGAGAAAAACACAAGCUAUGCGUCCUUUGGCAAUGUGCAGGCAUGCUAGAGCAUUGCAAGUUCCAGAGCAGAGUCAACAUAGCUGAGAUCUGCUUGUUAACUCGGGUACACGCUAUAGACAACAAGAGGCAGAUGAAGCUUCUGUUAAUCCAGGUGUUUGUUCGCGUGUUUACAUUAAUAAAAGCAAGGUGAGCUCUUUGUCCACGGGGGCAAGAGUCCCCUUGACCCUUCAUUCCAAAUUAUAUUUGUGUCUUUUGUCUUUUAUCCUCAUUCACCCCCAGUCGAGGAUAAUCUCCUAGGUUUGUUCCUACAGAGUGGGGUGGUAAGCAUCUGAUUGAAAUGAAGACUAUUUUGCAUUGCAGCAGAUUCAUUAUUAAAAGAAAGUAUAAAAAAUGACUUCCAGGUAGAUUUCAGUCAGAAGUUUCCUUCCUGUUUUUAAUAUCUAAAAGGUGUGUUUUUAUUCAUUACCCAUAUGACCCUCAGAAUCUCCUCCACAGGAUAUUUGUUAACCCUGAAUCAGAGUAUUAUAGCAGCUCACCGUAUCCCUCAAUAAUUCAGGAAUGCUCAGUUACAAGGAUAUUUACCAGAGAAGAGUGCAAACAAAAACAAGAACUUGCAGGCUCUGCUUCUCCAUUUUUUGGUUCAUUCAACAGAUAAAGAGAUAUUCUUACUUUACCAUGAGUCUACAUAUGCAACUUUGAAGGAAGGCUACAGUGUGUCCUUAAUAAGACAAGUGUAUCUAAUGUGGAAAUAGUACUGUUAAAAGGAUUUGUUCUGGGAUUCAUGUUAGAGGUACAUAUGAAAGCAAUUUAUAUACAUUUUAGUUUUGACAAGAUAAAACAGUAUAACAACACAACAUAUAGGAAAAUUUACUUAUAACACUACCAGUAAUUUCAGUUACCAGCACAUCCUUGGGUGAAAUAAUUUAAAGGGUAAUAGAAAACAAAAAUGAGAUUGUUUGUGAAAUUUCAUUCUGCCAGUAGUACUUGUUAGUUUUAGGUAAGUAAUCCUACUGAAAUAUAUAAUAUCUAAUUGUAUUUUUAUACCUUGCCAUUCAUAUAGUCCUAGAAACAAUUCUAUAAAAUGGAUAUCAGGUUAUUACCAUUUAAAUAUUAAAGAUCUAAGGUUAGGAAAGAUAAGAAAUGUGUCCAAGUUAAUAGAGUUAAUAAUUGGUUAAUACCGAAUUUGAACACAGAUCUACAGUUCUGAGUUCUUACCAGUCUCACUUUGCUACUGGCUUCCUUCAAGAAUUCAUAGUUUUCUAGAUUAGAAGGUCACAUAAUUUAAUGUUGAAAUUAUAUUCUAGAGUUAUAGGUAGACAGGCUUGGAAACAGAUGACAGUGGUUUUAAGAGUAAUUGAAGGUGCCUGGAAAGGGUCCAUAAAGGAGAUAAUAUUUGAAUUAGGUCUUGAAUGACUGAGGGAUUCUGGACAAGUUCAUGCAGUAUUUUCUGCACAAAGGAAUUUUAGGGUUAAAAGCACUUUGCUAUGAGUAUUGGGAGAUCUCAGAGCCAUUUUGCUACAUAACCAUGUGCAUGUGCAUUCCCUCCAUGGAGGAACCAUAACACUGCUCAAUCUCAAGACACCAUUUCCAUGGUAUUGCUCUAGUGGUUGCUCAUUGCUUAGAGUAUCCUAGGGGAGAUGCCUCCUGAAUUCAUG